UACCCCGAAAAUGUUGGAUACACCCAACCUCUGCUA
rnacentral:tRNA from 1 species